GAUGAACGCUGGCGGCGUGCCUAAUACAUGCAAGUCGAGCGAACGGACGAGAAGCUUGCUUUUCUGAUGUUAGCGGCGGACGGGUGAGUAACACGUGGAUAACCUACCUAUAAGACUGGGAUAACUUCGGGAAACCGGAGCUAAUACCGGAUAAUAUUUUGAACCGCAUGGUUCAAAAGUGAAAGACGGUCUUGCUGUCACUUAUAGAUGGAUCCGCGCUGCAUUAGCUAGUUGGUAAGGUAACGGCUUACCAAGGCAACGAUGCAUAGCCGACCUGAGAGGGUGAGCGGCCACACUGGAACUGAGACACGGUCCAGACUCCUACGGGAGGCAGCAGUAGGGAAUCUUCCGCAAUGGGCGAAAGCCUGACGGAGCAACGCCGCGUGAGUGAUGAAGGUCUUCGGAUCGUAAAACUCUGUUAUUAGGGAAGAACAUAUGUGUAAGUAACUGUGAACAUCUUGACGGUACCUAAUCAGAAAGCCACGGCUAACUACGUG
rnacentral:rRNA from 1 species